GACGUAGGGCGCGAGCGUGGUCCGGAUUUAUUGGGCGUAAAGAGCUCGUAGGCGGCUUGUUGCGUCGACUGUGAAAACCCGCGGCUUAACCGCGGGCUUGCAGUUGAUACGGGCAGGCUAGAGUUCGGUAGGGGAGACUGGAAUUCCUGGUGUAGCGGUGAAAUGCGCAGAUAUCAGGAGGAACACCGGUGGCGAAGGCGGGUCUCUGGGCCGAUACUGACGCUGAGGAGCGAAAGCGUGGGGAGCGAACAGG
rnacentral:rRNA from 1 species